AGCAUCCUCCGGCGGGGGCCCUGCCUGGCGCCGCGGCGAGCCGGGGCUGCCGCGGGGCGGGCGGGCGAGCGGCACCUCCAGCGCUCUGUGUCCGCGCAUCGCCCCGGCUUUUAUUUAACGCGGCCGAGCUCAGCUUGGCUCCUCCCCUUCUCGGAAAACAUGUGGCUACGUUCACUUUCGCUUUAGCAACGGCUUGGUGGCCCUGAGCCAGCCGUAGCUCUGGCUCCAGAGAAUGCCCCGCGGGCUCCCCGCCCCGCCGCUGGGGAUGCUCUUCAACCUCACUUCUUAUAUCCGACUACGUCUGGGUUUAUUCUUUUAUUGCUUUUUUUUUUUCCCCCACAGCCCCGGCGGAGCAGGCGGUGGCCGCGGGUAGGGUCGAGAGGUGCUGCGGGGCAAAUCCGAGCACGGGAGCGCUCUGAGGCUCCAGGGAGGCCAGGGGACACUAGAGGUGGACAGUGUUGAUGAUAUUCCUGGUGCUCUCACAGUUCCAGAUGCAAAUGCUGAGCUUCUAUUGAAGGAAGAACAGUGGAACUGGAGAGUGAAUGGAGCCAGCCCAGCUGCACUUGAAAAACGUCUGCCCAAAGGUAUUAAUUCCUUCAUCAAUAUGCUUAGCUGCUGUUCACAAACCUGGAUGGAGAUAAAAAAGGGGCCUGGAGAAUAUUCUCACUAUCCCCAGACACUCACUCAAGUAUUUCAUUUGCCAGAAAUGAAUGUAAAACUGCAUUAAAUGGCAGCAUGAAAGCAGUAGUGAGUGUGCUUCAGCCUCCUUAGCUCCACUGGUGAGUGCUGGAAGCUCUUGUGGUCUGGAGUGGACUGAAACACCACUGAGUUCCCAGCAAAGGAAGAGCCAGAGGUACCAGAAUGCAAAUAAACCAAUGGUCUGUGUCA
rnacentral:lncRNA from 1 species